ACAACACGUGACGUCAUCCUCCCCCCAACAACACGUGACGUCACGGGCCGACUCGCGCGCAAUCUUCUGCGUGCGUCUGUGGCGUCUCCAGUCGUCGCGUCUCCUCAGCGUCAGCGCCAGCGCUCGCGAUGAAUCCGCUCUACAGUCCAACGGCUCCCGGCACUGUCUACAGCAACUCGCAAGGCAUGGGAUACGCGGGCUAUGCCCCAGGCUACGCCGCUGCUGCUGCAGGAUAUCCCCCAGGAGUGUUCCCCCCAGCGGGGGUCAACUUUCCGUCGGGUGAGCCGUUACAGCCCAGUACCACCACCACCACAACCACCACCACCUUCACCACCAC